rnacentral:rRNA from 1 species
GGAGCAUGUGGCUUAAUUUGACUCAACGCGGGAAAUCUUACCGGGUCCGGACACACUGAGGAUUGACAGGUAUUAUAUAGCACGCACUUCGGUGUGUCUAUUGUUAAAUAUGCUAGUCCUUUCAUGAUUAUGUGAUAGGUGGUGCAUGGCCGUUCUUAGUUCGUGGAGUGAUCUGUCUGCUUAAUUGCGUUUCAGAUAAGGAUCUAUAUUCUUUACGUGAGUGAUUGCAGACCCCUUUCUCACGAGAGUGUGUGUCUCGCAUGAUCUCUCUACAUUAGGUCCUGAAAGCAACGAACGUGACCGCAACCUCUUGUUGCCUCAUCUCCCCAUAUCAACUAGGUAGUUUCGGCUACUUAACGUAUCAUUGAGGCUUUCCAAAACUAGAGGGACCGCUGUCAACUUCUUAAACCAGAGGAAGGUUGCGGCAAUAACAGGUCCU